rnacentral:tRNA from 1 species
GGAGAUGUAGCUCAGUGGUAGAGAGCUUGUCUGGCAUGCAUGAGGCCCUGGGUUCAAUCCUCAGUUCCA